GCGGCCUAUCAGCUUGUUGGUGAGGUAAUGGCUCACCAAGGCAACGACGGGUAGCCGGCCUGAGAGGGCGACCGGCCACACUGGGACUGAGACACGGCCCAGACUCCUACGGGAGGCAGCAGUGGGGAAUAUUGGGCAAUGGGCGAAAGCCUGACCCAGCGACGCCGCGUGAGGGAUGAAGGUCUCCGGAUUGUAAACCUCUUUCAGUAGGGAAGAAGCGAGAGUGACGGUACCUAAAGAAGAAGCACCGGCUAACUAUGUGCCAGCAGCCGCGGUAAUACAUAGGGUGCAAGCGUUGUCCGGAAUUAUUGGGCGUAAAGAGCUCGUAGGUCGUUUGUUACGUCGGAUGUGAAAACCUGAGGCUCAACCUCAGGCCUGCAUUCGAUACGGGCAAACUAGAGUUUGGUAGGGGAGACUGGAAUUCCU
rnacentral:rRNA from 1 species